UGGGGAAUAUUGCACAAUGGGCGAAAGCCUGAUGCAGCGACGCCGCGUGAGGGAUGAAGGCCUUCGGGUUGUAAACCUCUUUCAGCAGGGAAGAAGCGAAAGUGACGGUACCUGCAGAAGAAGCACCGGCUAACUACGUGCCAGCAGCCGCGGUAAUACGUAGGGUGCGAGCGUUGUCCGGAAUUAUUGGGCGUAAAGAGCUUGUAGGCGGUUUGUCGCGUCUGCAGUGAAAAUCCGGGGCUCAACCCCGGACUUGCUGUGGGUACGGGCAGACUAGAGUAUGGUAGGGGAGACCGGAAUUCCUGGUGUAGCGGUGGAAUGCGCAGAUAUCAGGAGGAACACCGAUGGCGAAGGCAGGUCUCUGGGCCAUAACUGACGCUGAGAAGCGAAAGCAUGGGGAGCGAACAGG
rnacentral:rRNA from 1 species